rnacentral:lncRNA from 1 species
AACUUGCAUAGGAUUUUAUUUACUUGGAUCAUUAGGGAAAAUUUUAAAUGAUACAAAUUUCAAGGAAUCCUGAGGUAAUCAGACUAUAGCAGUAAUGUUCCUGGUUAAGAGGUUCGUUUCAGUCAAAGAUGAGCAGCAUUUAUACUUAUAUAAAAAGCCAUUGAGGGGAAAAAGUCUUCCAUGUCAGUUUCUUCACAUCAUCUUUUAAAUAGGCUAAUAAAAACAUGUUAGUCCAUAGUUAACUUCAGUUUCUAACUAUCAAAUAUCAUAUGAUUUAGAAGUAAUAAUUACAGAAUAUUGAGACUUAGAUCUGUGCAGUGUGGGUUAGUUAAAUAUACAAUCUUUCAACAAAA